UAAUAAAGAUCAGAUAUAGGCAUUGUGUGCACCGAGGCAUGCUGCAGCCCUCAGCUGGUGGUGUGGGGCUGGGGGGGGACGACCCUUUGCUGUAAAUUAACCUCUGGCUUUAAUUUUUCUAGUUUACCGUGAACAGCAAUCGGGAACGUCAACAGCACGGUGCACUUGGGUCAGCAGCCCCGGAGCACGGGGAAGCGGCCUGCUGCGCCGACCCGCCGGGGAGGCAAGUUCCCGGGGCCCCGCGGCGCCGCUGCUCCCGCCGGCGGAGACGGAGGACGGAGGCUGCGGGGCAGCGCCUGGGCCUGUCGCGGGGGGCACUUCGGCUUCGAGUGGGGAUGAUCAGGAGUUUGUUAUGCCAUGCAACUCUGUGGCCACCUACCCGCUGGAUGGCCUUUCCUCAGCCCUUGCUGCUUGUCUCGGUGCUUACCAAGGACGUUACGGUGACCACUCUCUUCAGGAACUUGCUAGGCCAGGUUCAACUGAGGAACUGGAAAUCCUUCAUAUUCAAGACGCAGCUGUGGAUCCAGGAACACUGCAUGCCAGAGAGUCAAAUAGGAAAGUUCAUCUGUCAAAAAAACUUC